rnacentral:tRNA from 1 species
GGGCCCGUAGCUCAAUGGUAGAGCGCCGACCUCAUAAGUCGAUGGUUGUGGGUUCGAAUCCCGCCGGGCCCACCU